UCAGAUAUGGUGUAACGGCUAACAUUGCCGCCUCUCAUCGGCAGAUUGUUCGAUCGCACGCGGCAGCUCGGGGUUCGAUUCCCCGUAUCCGAA